CCAGACUCCUACGGGAGGCAGCAGUGGGGAAUAUUGGACAAUGGGGGGAACCCUGAUCCAGCGACGCCGCGUGAGUGAAGAAGUAUUUCGGUAUGUAAAGCUCUAUCAGCAGGGAAGAAAGAAAUGACGGUACCUGACUAAGAAGCCCCGGCUAACUACGUGCCAGCAGCCGCGGUAAUACGUAGGAGGCAAGCGUUAUCCGGAAUGACUGGGCGUAAAGGGUGCGUAGGUGGUUUGGCAAGUUGGUAGCGUAAUCCCGGGGCUCAACCUCGGUGCUACUACCAAAACUGUUGAACUUGAGUGCAGGAGGGGUGAAUGGAAUUCCCAGUGUAGCGGUGGAAUGCGUAGAUAUUGGGAAGAACACCAGCGGCGAAGGCGAUUCACUGGACUGUAACUGACACUGAGGCACGAAAGCGUGGGUAGCAAACAGGAUUAGAUACCCUCGUA
rnacentral:rRNA from 1 species